UGGCUCAGAACGAACGCUGGCGGCGCGUCUUAAGCAUGCAAGUCGAACGGCAAGAGGUAGCAAUACCUCCUAGAGUGGCGGACUGGUGAGUAACACGUGGGUGACAUACCCUUCAGAUGGGGAUAGCUAUAGAAAUAGUAGAUAAUACCGAAUACGAGCACAGGGGUUAGAGAUCUGUGAGGAAAGGAGCUAAGGCUCCGCUGAAGGAAUGGCCUGCGGCCCAUUAGCUAGUUGGUGAGGUAAGAGCCCACCAAGGCGAUGAUGGGUAUCCGGCCUUAGAGGGUGAACGGACACAUUGGGACUGAGAUACGGCCCAGACUCCUACGGGAGGCAGCAGCUAAGAAUAUUCCGCAAUGGACGAAAGUCUGACGGAGCGACGCCGCCGUGGAUGAAGAAGGCCGGAAGGUUGUAAAAUCCUUUUGAAACUGAAGAAUAAGCGUUGUAGGGAAUGACAGCGUGGUGACAGUAGGUUUUGAAUAAGCAACGGCUAAUUACGUGCCAGCCGCGGC
rnacentral:rRNA from 1 species